CUGGCUUAUCAAUUUAUUUAAAGAGUCAAUUGUUACCUACAUGGACCGGGAAUUUAAGGAAAUGAUGUGUGAUAGAAUCGAUAAUGAAGUCAACAGAAAACUUGCAGAAGUUGUUGCAGACAUUAAUCGUUACUUCCUUUAUUUCAUCAUUUUCAUCGUCAUCCUUAUAAUUGCCGUCAUAAUAAUGACUGCUGUAGUCAGCGCUAAAUUAGCUGACCUUAUUAUUUUUAUUAGCAUUAUUAUUUGAUAUUAUUAUUUCAUAUAUAGGCCCUAUUACUAUUUCUAUUGCUGUAUAUUUUUAUGAAUGUAUUUUUUUAAACUUUGUUGUAAAGGGUAAAUAUAGUUAUCGACUGUAUUCCAAGUUCAAAACGCAUUAUAAUAUACCAUUGAUAUUAAGGGAUAACGAAUGAAGUUUGUAAUUUGUUCCAUCAACAAAACUAGAUGCUAAAAAAAUGUUAGGAAUUAGGAAUUUGAUGUGAGAAUAUCUCCUCAGGCCAUAAAUGAUAAGUUUACAUAAGAAAUACUACAGGCCUAGUCUAUAACAAUAAUGAGUAAAUGAUAAAUAUAUGAAAUAAUAAUACUCUGUAAUAAUAUUAAUGAAUAAAGAUGAUAUGAUGAGCAAAUAUGAUUUAAUAUUUAUAUACAAAAAAAAAUAUUAUUACAUAGACAAAUAACGUAUUAACAAUACUGAUAAUGUAUUGCUUAAAAGUUUCCAUGGCCAAUAAAUAAUAUAUAUGUUGAAGCUUGCGGUACACCACGUAAAUAGUUUUGAAAAGAACUGUUUAGUUGAGAAAGUCUCGACGUUUCGAUUGAGAUGCUUCAAUCGUCUUCAGGAGAAUAAUAUUUGCAGACACUCCAAACAGGGUCAUGGUGGUGAACUGACCAAUGGGUGAAAGGCUAAAACACAAGCUGGAUGGUGAUUGGAUGGAUAAACUGGCCAGUGAGAAGACUGCUAGUGAGAGGCUAAAACAAAAGCCAUUGUUCACGAAAACAAAACAAGGGUGGGAACGCCCAAACAAAGGCAUGGUUCCAGGGCGGGAAAGUGAGUGGGAACGACCAAAAACAAAGGCAUAGUUCCAGAAGGCGGGAAAUGGUGGGGCUUCGCUAGGUCCGAUUAAACAUAGACAGCCAAAUAUCGCUAAUGACAAAUCCGAUGUCUUGAUGUAGAGUAUUGUGUUUGUGACAGAACUGUAAUUGCAAUCAGAUCAUUUGAACUUAAUUAAACUAAACUAAAACCAAA